rnacentral:rRNA from 1 species
GGAAUUUUGGACAAUGGGCGAAAGCCUGAUCCAGCAAUGCCGCGUGUGUGAAGAAGGCCUUCGGGUUGUAAAGCACUUUUGUCCGGAAAGAAAUGGCUCUGGUUAAUACCUGGGGUCGAUGACGGUACCGGAAGAAUAAGCACCGGCUAACUACGUGCCAGCAGCCGCGGUAAUACGUAGGGUGCAAGCGUUAAUCGGAAUUACUGGGCGUAAAGCGUGCGCAGGCGGUUGUGCAAGACCGAUGUGAAAUCCCCGGGCUUAACCUGGGAACUGCAUUGGUGACUGCACGGCUAGAGUAUGGCAGAGGGGGGUAGAAUUCCACGUGUAGCAGUGAAAUGCGUAGAGAUGUGGAGGAAUACCGAUGGCGAAGGCAGCCCCCUGGGCCAAUACUGACGCUCAUGCACGAAAGCGUGGGGAGCAAACAG